GAUGAACGCUGGCGGCGUGCUUAACACAUGCAAGUCGAACGAAGCACUUUAACUUGAUUUCUUCGGAUUGAUUGUUAUUGUGACUGAGUGGCGGACGGGUGAGUAACGCGUGGGUAACCUGCCUCAUACAGGGGGAUAACAGUUGGAAACGACUACUAAUACCGCAUAAGCGCACGGUAUCGCAUGAUACAGUGUGAAAAACUCCGGUGGUAUGAGAUGGACCCGCGUCUGAUUAGCUAGUUGGCGGAGUAACGGCCCACCAAGGCAACGAUCAGUAGCCGACCUGAGAGGGUGACCGGCCACAUUGGGACUGAGACACGGCCCAAACUCCUACGGGAGGCAGCUGUGGGGAAUAUUACACAAUGGGCGAAAGCCUGAUGCAGCGACGCCGCGUGAACGAUGAAGUAUUUCGGUAUGUAAAGUUCUAUCAGCAGGGAAGAAGAAUGACGGUACCUGACUAAGAAGCACCGGCUAAAUACGUGCCAGCCGCCGCGGUAA
rnacentral:rRNA from 1 species